rnacentral:rRNA from 1 species
CGUACACUCCUGCGGGAGGCAGCAGUGGGGAAUUUUGGACAAUGGGCGAAAGCCUGAUCCAGCCAUGCCGCGUGCAGGAUGAAGGCCUUCGGGUUGUAAACUGCUUUUGUACGGAACGAAACGGCCUUUUCUAAUAAAGAGGGCUAAUGACGGUACCGUAAGAAUAAGCACCGGCUAACUACGUGCCAGCAGCCGCGGUAAUACGUAGGGUGCAAGCGUUAAUCGGAAUUACUGGGCGAAAAGCGUGCGCAGGCGGUUAUGUAAGACAGUUGUGAAAUCCCCGGGCUCAACCUGGGAACUGCAUCUGUGACUGCAUAGCUAGAGUACGGUAGAGGGGGAUGGAAUUCCGCGUGUAGCAGUGAAAUGCGUAGAUAUGCGGAGGAACACCGAUGGCGAAGGCAAUCCCCUGGACCUGUACUGACGCUCAUGCACGAAAGCGUGGGGAGCAAACAGGAUUAGAAACCCCUGUAGUCCCAUGA